rnacentral:rRNA from 1 species
GCCCUACGGGCGCAGCAGUGGGGAAUAUUGCGCAAUGGGCGAAAGCCUGACGCAGCGACGCCGCGUGAGGGAUGAAGGUCUUCGGAUCGUAAACCUCUGUCAGCAGGGAAGAACGGUCACUGUGCUAAUCAGCAGUGAAUUGACGGUACCUGCAAAGGAAGCACCGGCUAACUCCGUGCCAGCAGCCGCGGUAAUACGGAGGGGGCGAGCGUUAAUCGGAAUUACUGGGCGUAAAGCGCUCGUAGGCGGUAUGUCAAGUCAAGGGUGAAAUCCCCGCGCUCAACGUGGGAACUGCCAUUGGAACG